rnacentral:tRNA from 1 species
GCUUUGGUGGUUCAGUGGUAGAAUUCUCACCUUCCGUAAGAGAGGCAUGGUUUCGAUUCCCAGCCAAUGCG